CUCCAUGGCGGGCCUGGGCAGGGAUACCUUCGGGUAUGCCGGUUAUGAUUGUAUGUCCGGUUCGCUAACCCUGUCUUGUGCCCGCCACCCUC
rnacentral:antisense_RNA from 2 species